rnacentral:rRNA from 1 species
UUCCGGUUGAUCCUGCCGGAGGUUACUGCUAUCGGAGUUCGAUUAAGCCAUGCGAGUCUAAAGGUUUCUUCGGAAACCUUGGCGGACUGCUCAGUAACACGUGGAUAACCUACCCUUGGGACUGGAAUAACCCCGGGAAACUGGGGAUAAUACCGGAUAGAUCAGGGAUGCUGGAAUGCACCUUGAUCCAAAGCUCCGGCGCCCAAGGAUGGGUCUGCGGCCUAUCAGGUAGUAGUGGGUGUAACGUACCUACUAGCCAACGACGGGUACGGGUUGUGAGAGCAAGAGCCCGGAGAUGGAUUCUGAGACACGAAUCCAGGCCCUACGGGGUGCAGCAGGCGCGAAACCUUUACAAUGUGCGAAAGCAUGAUAAGGGAACUCCGAGUGCCAGCAUCUAAUGUUGGCUGUCCUUGUGCCUAAAACGCACAAGAUAGCAAGGGCCGGGUAAGACCGGUGCCAGCCGCCGCGGUAACACCGGCGGCCCGAGUGGUAGCCGCUAUUAUUGGGUCUAAAGGGUCCGUAGCCGGUUCGAUAAGUCCUCUGGGAAAUCUGGUUGCUUAACAAUCAGACUGCCAAGGGAUACUGUCGAACUUGAGACCGGGAGAGGUAAGAGGUACUUCAGGGGUAGGAGUGAAAUCUUGUAAUCCCUGGGGGACCAUCUGUGGCGAAGGCGUCUUACCAGAACGGGUCUGACGGUGAGGGACGAAAGCUGGGGGCGCAAACCGGAUUAGAUACCCGGGUAGUCCCAGCCGUAAACGAUGCUCGCUAUGUGUCAGGUACGGUGUGACCGUAUCUGGUGCCGUAGGGAAGCCGUGAAGCGAGCCACCUGGGAAGUACGGCCGCAAGGCUGAAACUUAAAGGAAUUGGCGGGGGAGCACUACAACGGGUGGAGCCUGCGGUUUAAUUGGAGUCAACGCCGGG